rnacentral:lncRNA from 1 species
AGGCUAUAAGAUGUAAAGGUGAAAGAGCUCCACCCAAGUGGUGGUCUCCUAGAACAUUUCCACUUUAAGAGGUAAAAAAAUUGCUCCUAGCAAUGCAUCAUCUGUGCUCAGCACACAAUUAUAAUUGCCAUGAGCACAUCUCAGUACUGCGAGCACCUCCCAGCCAUGCUGAAAUAGGCAUGACAUACUCAUACAAGUGGAGGCCUCAGUAGGCAGAACUGCAUCCCAUGCAGUCAGCCUUCCCUCAGCCAGGCUCCCCUUCCAUGUAUGUCAUAAAGAGCCCCUGUUUCUCACCAGCAACCUUCAGUGCAGCCUGCAUUCAGGCCACGUAUCUCAUCAGCUGGUGUCUCCCAGUGGAGGGCCGCCAUUUUGCAGCCCUGCCAGGCUGACAUAAAGCAAGCAGCUGUUGGAGGAACACCAAGUGCUUUGACAACUUCUUCUUCCAAGCCAACUUCCCUGCCAUGGGGACCUCACCCAAAGAAGGGCUUUUGGUGCAGUGCACAAAUGGAGGUUAAACGAUGGAGAAUUGGCUUUCAUGCUCCAGAGCACCUGCUGGUUCUCAGGGGGCAAGCAAGGAAUUCUGAAACUAGAGAAGGGGAGCAGGCAACAACUGGCCACCUUAUUUCCAUUCCUAUUGUUGUAAAACCUUGUCUCCAUAUGCGGGGCUUUUACAACAGCGUGCAUUUCCCUGGUGUUGUAUGCACAUCCCUCCACGCCUGA